rnacentral:lncRNA from 1 species
AUGUAUCCAUCACGGGUCUGUGUGAACCUGCAGCUUCACACCUUCCCAAGCUGGAGACAUUUUCCUUGGCUGAACAAUGACACAGCCUUAAUAUGCCUUAUGCAUCUCUCUUUUUUAUUUGAUAUAUUUUGUGUGAAUUAUCUGGUUUCACGCAUCCUAUUCAUUCCUCUUUCCAUGCUUUAAAAUAUUACAACUCUUGUGUAUGCUUUGAUUUCUUUUUAGCUUCCUUUUCAGUAUUUAUUUCUGCUUGGAGGGUUUCUUUUAAUUUAGUUAAUGCAUUUUCCCUCCCACGUGGGACAUUUAGUUUUCUUUGGAUUUCUCCAUCUAUAUGCACUAAUUUGUCCGGCGCCUGGACAUUUCUUUUCUAGCCACUGCUCGUCAGCAGUGAGUUUUGUUGCUUUAUUACCCAUUAUUAGUUUAUGCUUCUUUUAGCGCUUAGUAAUACACACACACCUGCGGCGCUUUCACUGGCACGAGAACAGAGAGAGGUGGCUGACACGCCCUUCUACUUUCAAGCUAUUCUUGAAAGCGGUGUCACCUUUACGUGAUAAAACACGACCUUCCUCUCGAUUCACCAGUACUUCAGCAACCGACAGUAAACAAAUCAGUGGAAUAGUUCAGCCUCCUUAUUGUGCUGUAGAAAUCAACUUAUUCCACCAAAAAAGACAAUAAAAGACAGACAGUUUUAACGCGCGUUCACGCUACCAGCCUCUUAAGGCCAGCGUACUGCUUCCAGCCACUGUGGGCGAGCUAGGCCUAUUUUACCCUUUCGGGGAGCUACCAAUCACUUAUGACGAGCUCAAUCUUUAUUUUAGUGCUUCCAACCCUCUGCGGGCGAGCUGACUACCAGUCCUCAAGACGAGCUUAAUGCUUCCAGUCUCUCUUGGACGAGUCUAUUUCUUUUAAGUUUCGUUUUCGUUUUUGCGCAAACCUUUAUUAUCUCAAAGUAGUCUGUCUUACCUUGGCGCUGGUUUCUUGAGAUGCACCUGAUCAGCCCCCGGCGGUGCGGACCGCUUGUAAAACGUUGACCAAGACCCGAAUUCACGCUCUUGGGUUUUAUCACACACCUAGUAUGUGAGCUGCCGGCAGACUUCAACGUGGGCUUCUCGCACCGACGGGACCUGGUGAGGCGCCUUCUGUGAGAGCUGCUUUAAAUAGGCUGUCUCAUCCGGCUUCGAAGGACCAAGAAAUGUUAAGGGAAAAUCUCCCAAAUAGAAGGCUGCCAAAGUAAAACAGAGACACAGUGAGACAAUAUAAACAAUCACAUGUACAUGGGGUGAACGUCUCUAAUGAGAGUCACACAGUACUCUUCUUUAUUGCAGGUUAUAUAGGCAUGUAGGUUACACAGCAGACGGAGGCAGUCUCCGCCUGUUCUCAGAAUAUAGAUUGCUUAACUGACAAAUGCAUAUCUUACUAAACAUUCUGUCCGUACUAUACUAAACGUCUGCUUGAGUGGCAGUUUCCGUUGCUCUUUGCACAGGAACUUGUCUUCACAGGCAUAUGAUAAGCAUAGGCAAGGUUUCAUGUUUAUCAGGGUGAAUCGUCAUUCAGAGUUUACACAAUCACAAGCAAAGCAUAUUUGAAUAAUAAACAAAAUCUUUUCACACACUCCAUAAGAGUGACCUGAAAGCGCGGGUAGUGGACAAGUUGGUGGAGGCUGGUCUAAUGCAAGUCCCUGAUCUGCCUGAAGUGCCUGUGGUCUCUGGUGAGCCUAGUCAAACUUCCUCAGUUGAGGGGGACCAUAAAGAUGGUACGGGUCAUGACAGUGUGGGAAUGAGCGGGGGAAAACGCCGCGCAUGCUCCCUCGC